rnacentral:rRNA from 1 species
GACUACUAGGGUAUCUAAGCCUGUUUGAUACCCACACCUUCGCAGUUUAGCGUCAAUUACGGCUUGGAAGACUGCCUUCGCCUUUGGUAUUCCUCCUGAUCUCUGCGCAUUCCACCGCUACACCAGGAAUUCUGUCUUCCCCAACCGCAUUCCAGAUCUACAGUAUCUCCUGCCUUACAACGGGUAAGCCGUUGCCUUUAACAAAAAACUUAUAGAUCCGCCUACCUGCCCUUUACGCCUAGUAAUUCCGGACAACGCUCGCAACCCCCGUGUUACCGCGGCUGCUGGCACGGAGUUAGCCGUUGCUUAUUCAUAUGCUAAUAUCUCUCCCCUCAUGCUGUUAACAUAAAAGGCACUGCUCACAUAUAAAAGAACUUUACACCCCGAAGGGCUUCUUCGUUCACGCGGCGUCGCACUAUCAGUCUUUCGACCAUUGUAGACUAUUCUCGACUGCAGCCCCCCGUAGG